AACGAACGCUGGCGGCGUGCCUAACACAUGCAAGUCGUGCGAGAAAGUUCCUUCGGGAGCGAGUAAAGCGGCGCACGGGUGAGUAACACGUAGGUAACCUGCCCCCCAGUCUGGAACAACUAGAGGAAACUCUAGCUAAUGCCGGAUGAGACCACGAUCCCUUCGGGGGUUGCGGCCAAAGAUGGCCUCUACUUGUAAGCUAUCGCUGAGGGAUGGGCCUGCGGGCCAUUAGCUUGUUGGUGAGGUAACGGCUCACCAAGGCUGUGAUGGCUAGCUGGUCUGAGAGGAUGACCAGCCACACUGGGACUGAGACACGGCCCAGACUCCUACGGAGGCAGCAGUGGGAAUAUUGCGCAAUGGGCGAAAGCCUGACGCAGCGACGCCGCGUGGGUGAUGAAGGCCU
rnacentral:rRNA from 1 species